ensembl:lncRNA
CUGUGUUAUAUUGUUUUGGUUUUUAUUUUUCGGUGGAAUACGGACAAAAUAAUGACUGAGAUUUGAGCUGCAUCCUUGUAUAGGGUGAAAGACAAGGUGAUGCUUCUUCAGCAGCUGCUGCUCUUAGAACUUACUGAGAGCUUUGUUUGUACACGAGAUCUUUUCAGGACUGCGCUUCCUCUGAUAUAUUAAAAGAUAUUUCAUGGCAUGAACUAAUUAGGCAAGGCAAUUGCACAGCAGAAGGCAUGGGAAUGCUGGCUGAUCAUGGCCUGCUCCUUGCUCACGUGCUGCACUCACUGAUGAGCCCAUCCAUGCUGUUGGCAGUUGUGUUUUCCGGGGCAAAUCAGGUCACUGGGGUCUGCAGGCUUCCACAAGGCUAAGGCAGUAAACUGAAGCUCCAGGAGACAUCUCUGUAGAGCAGCACUUUCUGUAGGCAAACAUGGGUGUCCUCGAGGAGAGGUAGUCAUUAAAUGUCCUACCAGAGGGAGGCUCAGAGACGCAAUCUGUAGUUUGAAACUUUUGUGUGCCUGCAGCCACUGGAGCAUGGGGGGUCCAUGUCUUGUUUUCUGACGUGUCUUUGUGUGUAAGGGGAGGGGUGAAGUUGGCCCAAAGAGACAGCAGUGCCCUUCCUCCCAUUUAUCACUACAUCUGAAAGACAAAAUUGAUUUCUUUUCUCGAUAGUAUGUCCCUGCAGAGCUCCACUUGUAGUGAGUUCUCCAAAUGGGCCCAUUUCGGGCUGUCCGUGAAGAAGUUACUGGCUUUAUCCUCCUCCCUGCUCACCCAGAGGAUGUGGUGCUCAGCUUGGCACUGAUGGCAGAUGACUCAGCCACCCCACAAGGAUUGCAAACCUCUUUACGAGAUGAGGAAACCCCUGUGGCUGUCAGAGCUACUUACUCACAGUGCCACAUCAGCAUGACAGCUCUGAAGAAGCGAGCAGCUGCAAGACGUGCCUUGCUUUGGGGAGGCUCAGCAACAGCUUCUCAGGAUAACGGCAUCUCUCCAUCUACAUCUCAGUGAUGAGUUGCAAACACAGUGCAAGUCAAUCUUUGCCAUCCAAAACAUGCUUAGUAAGAGCGGCAGCGUUUCUCUGAGAAGGUGUGGCAUUGAAUGCAAAUGAACAGUGUCUUGAGAUGGCAUUAAUUUAUGCCACAGAAAAAAAAAAAACCUCUUUCAUCUGCUCCACGUGCUACAUGACCAAAAAUGUGUUGACCUAUGUGUGGCCACACUCAGACCUCUACAAAUGGGGUUCCUUUGGAACUGUUUAUUUUCCACUCUCCAAGACCUUUCAUUGGAUGGAGCACGUUGAAAGGCAAGAAAGAAAGAAAGAAAGAAA